UGGAACUGGAACAACAACAAAAUAUCACACUGCGAGAAUCAGACAAUGAUUUCUUGUUUACGACGCGAAAACGAAAUCGAGGCGGCGCUGUGACUAUGCCUGUAUCUUCCUCCACAGAAGCAGAUAACUUUUAGGCCAGAUACCAAUAACGACUUAGAAUGAGGCCUAAAAGGGAGUGUGGAUUCAAGGUCAGGACGCACAAGCCUUUUUUUUUUUUUUAAUUAAAAGAAGAAACCAUGACCUCAUGAAAUCGUGUUGAGAAAAAAACAACUAACUGCACAUAUGCUCCAAAAAUAUGAGAUAACAUACAGACAUGAAUAUUUAAUUGUGGCAAAGAAGAUUGGUCUGUUUUAAUGAAAGGCAAAACCACGCCUAAGAUGGAUACACUGUGGAGGAAGCUAUAUAAAAUGCUGUGUGUGCUUGCAUAAUUCGGACUUUCUGCAGACUGUCACACUUUAUUGGUUUUCAGUAAAGUUUAUUUACUUUUUGACAUCUACUAAACUCUCUGUCUCUGAAGUUUUUGACUUAGGCUAAAAAGGUUGAUUUUUCCACAACGGGUCUCAUGAGCAAGAACUACAAGUCAGCAUACAGAAAGGGGGUGUAGCGGCUAACGGACUGGUGCAGAGCCAACAACCUGUCUAAGAAUGUGGACAAAAAAAAAAAAAAGAGAUGGCUGUUGACUUCAGGAGAGCACAGAGCGAACAAUCUCUGCUGAACAUCGACGGUUCGUCCAUGGAGAUUGUCAAGAGUAGCAAAUUCCUUGGUGUUCACCUGGCAGAGAACCUCACCUGGUCCCGAAACACUAUCUCCAUGAACAAGAAAUCCCAGCAGCGUCUCUACUUUGUGAGGAGGCUGAGGAAAGCCUGUCUCCCACCACCCAUCCUCACAACAUUCUACAUAAGAACAACUGAGAGCAUCCUGAGCAACUGCGUGGUUCAGAAAUUGCAUCAUAUUGGAUCACACACCCAUCACACAAACUUCAUCCUCCUGCCAUCUGGAAAAAGGUACUGAAGCAUUCGGGCCCUGACAGCCAGACUGUGUAACCGUUUCUUCCCCUCAAGCCAUCAGACUCGUCAGUACUCAGAGACUGGACUGACAACACACACACACACACACACACACUCUGAACUGAACACCAUCCCACUCCCCUUACAAUUUUUGUACAUUUCUGUACUGACAACCUGCAUUUUUGCUGCUAAUGUACUCAUAAAAAAUAUCAUAUUUAAUUUCUUUUCACUAUCAUACUCUUUACCUGGCUGCUACUGCAAUAACUGCUAUGUCCAUAUAUGUUAUAAGCUAAUCUGCUGAAUACUAUUUCAUAAUAUGUUAUGUUUACUUUCACAGAAUUUUUUUUAUUAUAUUGUACUAUCUGUUGCACUACCUGUUGUAUCUGUCACUUCCGCAAUAGAACUGUGUACUGGUCAGCGCUACACUGUCACUGUGCCUAUUGUCCUGUUUUAGUAGUACUGUAGUGUCUUGUGUUGCUUGCAAACGUUUGCAUGUGCACUUUAUGUAGAAAUGUGUAGGCCUUAUUUAGUUCUGUGUCGUGUCAUGUGGUUGGUGUGUCUUUUUAUGUAGCACCACCGUACUGGACGAAAGUUGUUUUGUUUCACUGUGUAAUGUACCACUGUGGACUGUGUAGAAAUGACAGUAAAGACACUUGACUUUGGUAAUAUUGGAA